AUUGAACGCUGGCGGCAUGCCUUACACAUGCAAGUCGAACGGCAGCGGACCUUCGGGUGCCGGCGAGUGGCGAACGGUGAGUAAUAUAUCGGAACGUACCUUUCAGUGGGGAUAACGUAGCGAAAGUUACGCUAAUACCGCAUAUUCUGUGAGCAGGAAAGCAGGGGAUCGCAAGACCUUGCGCUGAUUGAGCGGCCGAUAUCAGAUUAGCUAGUUGGUGAGGUAAAGGCUCACCAAGGCGACGAUCUGUAGCGGAUCUGAGAGGAUGAUCCGCCACACUGGAACUGAGACACGGUCCAGACUCCUACGGGAGGCAGCAGUGGGGAAUUUUGGACAAUGGGCGCAAGCCUGAUCCAGCCAUGCCGCGUGAGUGAAGAAGGCCUUCGGGUUGUAAAGCUCUUUCGGCCGGGAAGAAAUCGCACAGGUUAAUACCCUGUGUGGAUGACGGUACCGGAAUAAGAAGCACCGGCUAACUACGUG
rnacentral:rRNA from 1 species